rnacentral:tRNA from 6 species
GGGCCCAUAGCUCAGCUGGUAGAGCAACUGACUUUUAAUCAGUAGGUCACAGGUUCGAAUCCUGUUGGGCUCACCA